UCGAGAAUCUUCGGCAAUGGGCGAAAGCCUGACCGAGCGAUGCCGCGUGCGGGAUGAAGGCCCUCGGGUUGUAAACCGCUGUCAGUUGGGAGGAAGGCUCCGUGAAGAACGGAGUUUGACCUAUCUUCAGAGGAAGUCCGGGCUAAGUUCGUGCCAGCAGCCGCGGUAAUACGAACCGGACAAACGUUAUUCGGAAUUAUUGGGCUUAAAGGGUGCGUAGGCGGCGCGGUAAGUGAGGUGUGAAAGCCCACGGCUCAACCGUGGAACUGCGCUUCAUACUGCCGUGCUUGAGGGAGACAGAGGUAAGCGGAACUGAUGGUGGAGCGGUGAAAUGCGUUGAUAUCAUCAGGAACACCGGUGGCGAAAGCGGCUUACUGGGUCUCUUCUGACGCUGAGGCACGAAAGCUAGGGGAGCGAACGGGAUUAGAUACCCGGUAGUCCUAGCUGUAAACGAUGAGCACUUGGUU
rnacentral:rRNA from 1 species